UACGGAGGGGGCUAGCGUUAUUCGGAAUUAUUGGGCGUAAAGGGCGCGUAGGCGGCCCGGUAAGUCAAAGGUGAAAUCCCUCGGCUCAACUGAGGAACUGCCUUUGAAACUGUCGGGCUUGAGGCCGGGAGGGGGUAGCGGAAUUCCCAGUGUAGCGGUGAAAUGCGCAGAUAUCAGGAGGAACACCAAUUGCGAAGGCAGCUCGCUGGGACGUUACUGACGCUGAGACGCGAAAGCGUGGGGAGCAAACAGG
rnacentral:rRNA from 1 species